GAUUCAAGCUACGAAGGGCAUGUGGUGGAUGCCUUGGCAGCAAGAGGCGAUGAAGGACGUAGGAGCCUGCGAUAAGCCUCGGGGAGCGGGCAAGCACGCGAUGAUCCGGGGAUUUCCGAAUGGGGAAACCCAAUGCCUCAGGGCAUUACUCCGCAAGGAGAGCCAACCCGGGGAACUGAAACAUCUCAGUACCUGGAGGAAAGGAAAUCAAACGAGACUCCGCAAGUAGCGGCGAGCGAACGCGGAAAAGCCCAAACCACUUCAGGUUUCUGCGGUGGGGUUGUAGGACCUACACAACGGUACAGCGACGGCUAGCAGAACGACCUGGAAAGGUCGGGGAUACAGGGUGAUACCCCCGUAUGCGAAAGUCGAGACUGACCAGUAGGAUUCCUGAGUACCCCCGGACACGUGAAAUCCGGGGGGAAUCUGGGGGGACCAUCCUCCAAGGCUAAGUACUACCUGCUGACCGAUAGUGAACUAGUACCGUGAGGGAAAGGUGAAAAGAACCCCGAGAGGGGAGUGAAAUAGAAUCUGAAACCGCAUGCCUACAAACAGUGGGAGCUCUUCGGAGUGACCGCGUACCUUUUGCAUAAUGAGCCUGCGAGUUGCGUGUCGUGGCCAGGUUAAGCCGUCAGGUGGAGCCGUAGGGAAACCGAGUCUGAACAGGGCGUUCAGUCGCGGCGCGCAGACCCGAAGCUGAGUGAUCUACCCAUGGCCAGGGUGAAGCGUUGGUAACUCUUCGUGGAGGCCCGAACUCACAAAGGUUGAAAACUUUGGGGAUGAGCUGUGGGUCGGAGUGAAAGGCUAAUCAAACUCAGAAAUAGCUGGUUCUCCCCGAAAGAUAUUGACGUAUCGCGUCGGGUAGCGCUGCUGGGGGUAGAGCACUGACAGGACUAGGGGGCUUCACCGCCUACCAAAUCCUAUCAAACUCCGAAUACCGGCAAGCGACGUCCGGCAGUGAGGCGGCGGGAGAUAAGUUUCGUCGCCGAGAGGGAAAGAGCCCAGACUCCCGGCUAAGGCCCCCAAAUCCAUGCUAAGUGGUCAAGGAUGUUGGGGAGCUCAGACAACCAGGAGGUUGGCUUAGAAGCAGCCAUCCUUUAAAGAAAGCGUAAUAGCUCACUGGUCAAGUUCUCCAGCGCCGUAAAUAUAACGGGGCUGAAGCAUGGUGCCGAAGCCGGAGACUUGCGCAAGCAAGUGGUAGGGGAGCGUUCCGACUGCGCUGAAGCGGGAGCGAGAGCGACCGUGGAGCGGUCAGAAGUGAGAAUGCAGGCAUGAGUAGCGAUAAAGCGGGUGAAAAACCCGCUCGCCGGAAGCCCAAGGUUUCCUGUCCAAGGAUCAUCCGGGCAGGGUAAGUCGGUGCCUAAGGUGAAGCCGAGAGGCACAGCCGAUGGGAAUCAGGUUAAUAUUCCUGAACCGAUGUUCAUGAGCAGUGCGGGGACGGAGAAGGGUAGGUCGGCCGGUCAUUGGAUUCCGGUUCAAGCCUGUAGACGGUUGGCGUAGGAAAAAAACGCGCUGGCAACGUCGAGAGGUGAUGACGAAGGCUUUCGAGCCGAAGUGAUUGAUCCCAUGCUUCCAAGAAAAGCCGCGGGCUGCGUUGACUGAUUCGUGACCGUACCGCAAUCCGACUCAGGUGGGCAGGUGGAGAACACCGAGGCGCUCGAGAGAACCCAGGCUAAGGAACUAGGCAAAUUAACACCGUAACUUCGGGAUAAG
rnacentral:rRNA from 1 species